rnacentral:ncRNA from 1 species
GGAUCCACGAGCGGGAUGGAAACAUCCCAAACGAAACGGACCUUUGGUCCAAAGCAACGGAAGACAGAGA